UACGUAGGGUGCAAGCGUUACUCGGAAUUACUGGGCGUAAAGCGUGCGUAGGUGGUGAGUUAAGUCUGUCGUGAAAGCCCCGGGCUCAACCUGGGAAUGGCGAUGGAUACUGGCUCGCUAGAGUGCGGUAGAGGAGAGUGGAAUUCCCGGUGUAGCAGUGAAAUGCGCAGAUAUCAGGAGGAACACCAGCGGCGAAGGCGGCGCUCUGGGCCGGUACUGACACUGAGGAGCGAAAGCGUGGGUAGCAAACAGG
rnacentral:rRNA from 1 species